UUACAAGCGAUGAUGGGGAUGAGUAAAUCGGCGUACCCUUACAGAGAGCGGGAUGAGGUGUAAACCCGUAGGGAAGGACGGUUGAACAUGGCUCCGGAGCUGCUGGUUCGAAGGCUUUUAUUGAUUUAGUAGAGCUGGCCGGUCUAAGCACCGUUACUUGCUGUUAGUGCAUUGAUGCACUACUGAGGCUGUUGCUGCAAAGCAGCAGCAAAUCAGGGUGGUACCGCGGGUUAGUAACCCCGUCCCUGCC
rnacentral:ncRNA from 1 species